AUUAUUUCUCGUUCUCCCAAACUAGCACGCGUGUUUCUAUUUAACAAUUAGUCGCCGAAGGCGAGGUGAUUACAAGCCUAUAUUCACUGAGCCGAAGGCGAAGUGAAUAUAGGCUUGUAAUCACCGAGCCUGAGGUGACUAAUUGUUUUAGUAUAAAUUUCCAGGUGUUUACAAACAAUAAUCCACACAACUUUAUAAAAAUUCACUUCAAAUAAAUUUAUUUUCACUAUAAAUAGUUUGUUUACAAAAUUUAAAUCUCAGACACGGC